AUGGUACGAUAAUUUCUGAUGCUGGUGAGGGCGAUCAAACAAAACUGGCGGACGUGAAAGAUGACAAGUAGGACAGGGUGGUGCUGUGCCAGACAAGUCACCCCUGACACUAGUUUUAAAAGUAUCUUGAGUUAAUUUCAGCCUUACAGGAAAGUUGGGGGAAGAGUACAAAGAACCCUUUGUAUCCUUCACCCAGA